GCCGGAAUAGCUCAGUUGGGAGAGCGUUAGACUGAAGUUGUUUACGCAAUCAUCUAAAGGCCCCCGGUUCAAUUCCGGGUUCCGGCA
rnacentral:tRNA from 1 species